UAAAAAUGUUUGCAUAUAUCUAUAUUAAUAAUUUCGUCAAGGGGUACGGUAGACUGGAUCGAAACCUUAUAUGAAUAACAAAGCAUAAAAAAAUAACGAUUUUGAGUCGACAACAUAUAUCCGCAAAAUUCGGAUAAUGGAGAAUUUCGUUAAAUUCCGAUGGCAUUGACAAACAAACCGCUGUCGCCAUCUUUAGUAGUUCACCAUCCACUCACUAUGCGAUCAACGCCAAAAGCUGGGUUGUCAUCGAUCCAUAAAUAAAUGGAAAUCAGUGCGUUUCGCGAUUUUUAUGAUAAUAUACUCUUUGUUAUGUGUUUUUUCUUUAAACCUGGUAUUGGCCGAUUCAACCACAAAAAAAGAAUAUUAGCCAUAACCUUAUAUAGUUCCAAAAUACUGGACUGUCCUGUCGAUGACAUUGACAGUGGGGCGCCACCGUCAAUACCGGAUCGCUGGUUCAGAUUUUUGCCAUGUUGGAAACCAUAUAGUUGAACGAUGGUAGCGCCCCCCUGUCAUUGAGUUUGGUGGGACAGUUCAGCGUGGGUCAUCUAUAAGUUGAAGUUCAAAUGUCAAUGUCAUUUAGUUUCGCACAGUGAUAAAUUCCAGUGACAUGCAAUUUUUGUAAUGGUAAAAUAUUUGUAAGAAACUGCAAACAAAUGCUAAUGUGCAGUCGAUGUGUGGAAUGCGACAACAUUAUACUCGAUAAUUUCAAUUAUUGCGAGUGUUGUGGCUUAGAAACAAUUAGGCAGUUAAGAAUAAACAAGACUCGGGCACUAUCAAACCUUUUUCCUAAAAAGCAAAAAGCUGCUUCUGCUGCUUCACAAGAUUUAUUUGAUGACUUUCAGGUUGAUAACGAAGAGUUGACACUAAUCGAGGAUUCAUUGAUGAUUGAUGAUGCUUCUUCGGACAACAAGAAAAAACAGCUACUGUCAGUCAGCAGUGAUGAUGCUUCUUCAGACAACAAGGAAAAACAGCUGCUGUCAGUCAGCAGUGAUUUUAUUUCUUUAGAAGAAGAAGAGAAAGAAAACAUAUCAAAUGGCGGGCAGACCCCCGAAAAAACAUUUAUCCAUGGACAGUGGCAACCACGAAUAUCUCAGUCAGCGGCUGAUAAAGUAAUUGCAAGAAUGUAUAAUUAUUCCUUUUCUGAUCGGGAACGAUAUUAUCUCCGGCUAUUACUUCUUCACGUCAAAGGGCCGACUUGCUUCAGAGAUAUUAGAACUUAUUAAUAUGAAAAUAUUAUUUACACAUCAUUUCGAGAAGCUGCUCAAGCAAGGGGGCUACUUUUUGACGAUCAAGAAUGGGAAAGAUGUUUGGAUGAAGCAAUUGGUUUCAAACUUCCUCGGCAAUUACGACAGCUGUUUGCGUUAAUUUGCGUGUUUUGUGAAGUAACUGAUCCUAAUGCUCUUUGGGAAAAAAUUGCAUCACAUUUUAUCGAAAACUUUACAAGAUCCCGCCCUGAAAUAUUAUCCAAACAGUUGGCUUUACAAGAAAUUGAUGAAACAUUAAAACUCCACGGAAAGAGACUAACAGAUUUCGGACUUCCGGAGCCAGAUAUUGAUGAAAAUAGUAUUUUCUUAUCUGAUCCCGUUUCUGACUAUUAAUAAGAGUUAUUUACAUAACCUAUAUUAACGAUUGAAUUUGAUUGUUUUGUUAAUUUGUCUUAGUUUAUUUUGAAUGUUGAUUUAAAAUAAAAAUAAUUUGUGUAAAAACAUUUGCAGUUUUUAUUUACCAUAUUUAUUAAACACAACUAACGAAGCUAUAUGAAUCUAUAUUUAAUAUUCUUUGAGAACCGAUGACUACAGAAACAUCUAUCUACAUUUUGCACCUAGAAUUGUGUAUUAUGAGUCAAAUUGCACCCGAGCGAAGCCGGGUUUUCAUCUAGUUAAGGUAUAAUUGAGAAAAAAAAUAAAAACAAAAAUCACUAAAAUCAUUUUUCCUAAUUAACUGAAUGCGUUUACGAAGCGCUUAAUACGCUUAUUACGUGUAGUUUUAAGAGCUCUAUGAAGUAUUAUAACAAUUCUGAAUUAAAUAUUAUUAGUUAACGAGUGAGAAUAUUUUUGCAUAAUUUUGAAGUAAAAAAAUAGGUAACUUUGAAUUUUUAUACCGCGAAAACUACGUGGAAUUUUCAAACGGGAGUUUUACUAUCAUGUUUGUAUAACUGAGCUCUAUACGUUU